GGCAGUCGUCAUGUCGCCGCAGACAAAACGUCAUUACGUUUUCGAGCCUAAACAGUAUGUCGUGUGAAGCGUCAUUUCGGUUCAAGCAGGGGCAGGUUUGGGAUGGCAAACAAACAAGGGGUGCUGAAUGUGAGAAGGCAUUAGCAGGCAACAGCUGCAACAAUGAGACAUGGGGAGGAAGACUGGAAGGGUGGCUGUCAGAGACACAGAUCUGUCCCUGCUGCCCCUCGUGCGACCGUAUAAGGACAGAAGUCCCCUGACAGCAGACAUUUCAGCCAAGUCACUCAGUCAUACAAUAAUCUCCAGUCUUUCUCCUUACUGCUAAAACUGACCCUUCAGCAUUGCCAUUUCAAUCUAAGAGUUUUGCUACAUCAACACAAUUAUAUUAUUUAUAAAUCUGAAAAUAAAUAGUCUUGAAGUGUUA